rnacentral:lncRNA from 1 species
UCUGUUUUCCCUUCUUUGGGUUUGCAAGCAACAAUUUCAUUGAUGUUGAGUGUUUUUCGCUUAUUACAGCAGAGAUGGUGAAUUUUGUACUAUUGUAUUUACAGAAAUGCGUGUACAUAGAUUUGCAAUCUGAAGGAGCGAUGAAGUGAAGAUUGAGUGCUUUUCUUUAAGAUUAAUAAUAGAUGGUAUAUUUUUUUGUUUUGAUUUAAGAGUGUUUGAUCUGGUACAUAGUGCAUUUGUUUAGUCUCAAAAUUUCAGUGUUAUCUCUCUAUUUCUCAUAUUAUUCACACCACGUCAUUGGUGAAAGCCUGCUGAAAAGAAUAAUUAAACAAUGGUGUGCUAAGUUAAACUAAAAUGUUAUGUACUAAAGGAAAAAAAUGACAUCUAGGUAUAUUCCCUUGAAUGAUUUACUAAAUACAUUUUCAUGUGAGGGCUCUUUACAGAAAGUAACUGAGAUCCAUUUAGAAAAUCAUGUUAAUAUUUUUUUGCGUAUCAUUAACUAAUGGUUCCAUUGUUAACAUUGUAUUAAUAAUCUUGUACCCUUUUUAUAAUACUAUCCCUCGUAUUCAUUUUAUUGUAAAGACAAUAAUCAGGAAGUGGCAUGUAUAAAAUUUCAACAUUUGCUCUCUCUCUCUCAAUUCCUUGUCCCAUCUCAUUCUGAAGUUUGGGCAGAGAUAAUUAUUUACCUUGUAUGCCAUGAAGACUAUGAUUUAUUGUAAUUGGAGAAUGCAUGCGUUUUUCUCUUCCAACAUAUAUUAUUGUUCUUCACAAUUCCCGAGUGUGGUUAUAUAUAGAUUGCUUGGAAAAUCAACUAAUAUUGUUACUCUAUUCAUUUGGGAGUUAGUUGUUAUAACUUACUAUAAUUUUGUAUGUGUUGAAUUUUUUGCAGGUUUGGCAAUUAGUCCGUGUCACUGGAGAUUGAAGCUUUUUAGCAGGAAUUACUUGGGCCCGAAUAGCUGCCUGGAAGUGGUGGUGUACUGUUGGAGAUUAAGAUAAACUAGUAGUGCAUUUUAGUCAUGUUUAUUUGAAAAUUUAAAAAAUACUUAUAGUGCGUUCUAGAUAUGCUUCUGAUAUUUUGAUAUUAAAUUUUGUUUUUUGUUGGAAAUCUGUAAUUGUCUUGUGAAUGAGUGCUAUUAUUUGAAUGAAUAUAAUUUGGUUGCAUUUGUAAAUUAUUCUGCGUCAAGAAAACAAGCUG